rnacentral:rRNA from 1 species
CCUACGGGUGGCAGCAGUGAGGAAUAUUGGUCAAUGGACGAGAGUCUGAACCAGCCAAGUAGCGUGAAGGAUGACUGCCCUAUGGGUUGUAAACUUCUUUUAUAGGGGAAUAAAAUGUUCCACGUGUGGGAGUUUGUAUGUACCAUAUGAAUAAGGAUCGGCUAACUCCGUGCCAGCAGCCGCGGUAAUACGGAGGAUCCGAGCGUUAUCCGGAUUUAUUGGGUUUAAAGGGAGCGUAGGGGGAUUGUUAAGUCAGUGGUGAAAGUUUGCGGCUCAACCGUAAAAUUGCAGUUGAAACUGGCAGUCUUGCGUACAGUAGAGUUGGGCGGUCUUCGUGGUGUAGCGG